AUGACAACAUUGCUAAGGGCAGAUUUCUUGCCCAUGCAACCUGUCUUUACCAAUAAAAUUCACAGGCCCACAACUUCCUUUCCAGCCUGGCCACACCGUGGGAAUGGAUAUUGAGCCAGGGAGGACCAUGCUAGACGGGCAUUUCAUCUGGCUCAGGUGAUAGAAGACCAUGACAGCAGCAAGACCUGACAUGCACAAACGUGAAAGUGGAGAAGUUACGAGAUGAAUAGACAAUUUGAAGUCAGCCUGCUAAGGAGUAAAAGCCAAGAGAAAAGAUCUUCAAGGAAGAAGCUUGCUAACUCCCAAAUCCAGAGAAUGAACUGUUGCAGAAAGAUGCCAGAAAAUCCACACUACAUCAAGAAGAUCAAGAAUGAACUUUGGGUGUGGUUGAUUGAACUGAAGUUUGAUUGAACAUUUAUUGUAAAUGUACACUUUUAUGUCAAGGGGACUGCCCCUUAUUUGGCUUUCUGUCAAUGCGCCUAGAAAAACAUUGCUUUUGCUUUCUUUAUUUCUAUUUCUCCCUAACUACUGUAAUUUCCUCUUCGAAAAUUGAAUAUUGUAAGCAUCUGUAGUUAGAAGUGCAUUUAGGACUACAAGAUGAUUAUGUUAAAUCAUCAAUGGGGAGACUAGUCUCCCAAUGAUAAUCAGGGGGGAUUGUGAAUCUUAAAAACUGCUCAGACUCUACCUUAGAAGAUUUGGUUAAGCUAUUCCCUUAUUGUAACAAAUGGAGGUACUUUAUCAGGAACGUAUUGGGAAUUUUAACAUUAUUCCACCCAUACUUAGGCAUACUUUAGGGGUUGUAAAUGCCUUACUGAACAAUGAAAAGUCCCCAACUCAUACUUAUAUUGAAGCGAAAUCCCUAAACUAGGUCUAUUUUUAGAUCUAAUACAAAAGGGUGCUAAGUACCUGUAAAGGUUAAAUUAAUCACUAAAAAGGUCAAACGACUUACAAAAGGCAAGAAGUGUGAAGUUUUAGUCUAUUCAGAGAAGGUGAUGAUAAAAGAAGAUGUGAACUAAGAAUGGUGAGUCCUGGGGAAAACACCUACUGUGAUUGUUAGGUGUGAAAAUUUAGGGGAAGUUUGGAGUUAGUUUGGAGGAGCUGGCUCUCUGAACUUAGUUGGAGUUUGGAGUUAGUUUGGAGGAGCUGGGUCUCUGAACUGAGUUCAGGAGUUAAGGAUUUAGUGAAGGACUGGAGUUUUGCUUUAGGACAAAUCUUGUGGUGAGUGAUAAAAGACUGACUAGUCUCUCUUAAGGCUCAGGCUUGGGUCAUUUGGCCUAGGCCCUUCCUACUAUUUCCUCUUACUCUAUCUAUCUUCCUUCCCUUAAUUCCUUCAUUUGUAUGAAUUAAAAUCACCAUAAAACCCAGCUGACUUGGGUAUUU
ensembl:lncRNA